rnacentral:tRNA from 1 species
AGUUAAUUAAGUUAAAUAGACUAUAUAUCUUCAAAAUAUAAAGUGGUGUUAGCCAUUAACUG